rnacentral:rRNA from 1 species
UCCUACGGGAGGCAGCAGUAGGGAAUCUUCCGCAAUGGACGAAAGUCUGACGGAGCAACGCCGCGUGAGUGAUGAAGGUUUUCGGAUCGUAAAGCUCUGUUGUUAGGGAAGAACAAGUGCUAGUUGAAUAAGCUGGCACCUUGACGGUACCUAACCAGAAAGCCACGGCUAACUACGUGCCAGCAGCCGCGGUAAUACGUAGGUGGCAAGCGUUAUCCGGAAUUAUUGGGCGUAAAGCGCGCGCAGGUGGUUUCUUAAGUCUGAUGUGAAAGCCCACGGCUCAACCGUGGAGGGUCAUUGGAAACUGGGAGACUUGAGUGCAGAAGAGGAAAGUGGAAUUCCAUGUGUAGCGGUGAAAUGCGUAGAGAUAUGGAGGAACACCAGUGGCGAAGGCGACUUUCUGGUCUGUAACUGACACUGAGGCGCGAAAGCGUGGGGAGCAAACAGGAUUAGAUACCCUGGUAGUCCACGCCGUAAACGAUGAGUGCUAAGUGUUAGAGGGUUUCCGCCCUUUAGUGCUGAAGUUAACGCAUUAAGCACUCCGCCUGGGGAGUACGGCCGCAAGGCUGAAACUCAAAGGAAUUGACGGA